rnacentral:rRNA from 1 species
GACGAACGCUGGCGGCGUGCUUAACACAUGCAAGUCGAACGGAAAGGCCCCUUUGGGGGUACUCGAGUGGCGAACGGGUGAGUAACACGUGAGUAACCUGCCCUUGACUUCGGGAUAAAUUCAGGAAACUGGGGCUAAUACCGGAUAGGAAUCCUUGCUGCAUGGUGGGGGUUGGAAAGCUUCGGCGGUUUUGGAUGGACUCGCGGCUUAUCAGCUUGUUGGUGGGGUAGUGGCUUACCAAGGCUUUGAUGGGUAGCCGGCCUGAGAGGGCGACCGGCCACAUUGGGACUGAGAUACGGCCCAGACUCCUACGGGAGGCAGCAGUGGGGAAGAUUGCACAAUGGGCGGAAGCCUGAUGCAGCAACGCCGCGUGCGGGAUGACGGCCUUCGGGUUGUAAACCGCUUUCAGCAGGGGCGAAGCUUGUGGUGACGGUACCUGCAGAAGAAGCACCGGCUAACUACGUG